rnacentral:rRNA from 1 species
UACGUAGGGGGCAAGCGUUGUCCGGAUUCAUUGGGCGUAAAGAGCUCGUAGGCGGCUUGUCACGUCGGGUGUGAAAGCCCGGGGCUUAACCCCGGGUCUGCAUUCGAUACGGGCAGGCUAGAGUGUGGUAGGGGAGAUCGGAAUUCCUGGUGUAGCGGUGAAAUGCGCAGAUAUCAGGAGGAACACCGGUGGCGAAGGCGGAUCUCUGGGCCAUUACUGACGCUGAGGAGCGAAAGCGUGGGGAGCGAACAGG